rnacentral:piRNA from 2 species
AUGAAGCAACAGAUAUGUGGAUGG